AUAUUGGACAAUGGGCGAAAGCCUGAUCCAGCCACGCCGCGUGUGUGAAGAAGGUCUUCGGAGUGUAAAGCACCUUAUGUUGGCCGGAAGGGUCGUAGGUUAAUAUCCUUCAAUCUUCACGUUACCAACAGAAUAAGCUCCCGCUAACUUCGUGCCAGCAGCCGCGGUAAUACGAAGGGUGCAAGCGUUAAUCGGAAUUACUGGGAGUAAAGCGCACAUAGGUGGUUCGUUAAGUUGGAAGUGAAAGCCCCGGGCUUAAACUGGGAAUUGCUUUCAAAACUGACGAGCUAGAGUACGGUAGAGGGUAGUGGAAUUUCCUGUGUAGCGGUGAAAUGCGUAGAUAUAGGAAGGAACAUCAGUGGCGAAGGCGACUACCUGGACUGAUACUGACACUGAGAUGCGAAAGCGUGGGGAGCAAACA
rnacentral:rRNA from 1 species